rnacentral:lncRNA from 1 species
GGAUUGUGUUUGCUAAUAUUUUAUUUUCUUUAUCAAUAUUCUUAACUUCAAUUCCGCUUUAUCAAACUUUUACUGAAAGCUUUUCCAACAUUCACAUUGUUCUAGAUAUCUUGACAUAUAGCAACUUCUGUACUCUUUUGAGGAAUUCAUGACAACCUCUUUUACAGGUGAGAAUACUGUUGCCCACAGAGGUGGAGUGACUCACACAAAGUUCUAUAGCUACUGACUGUAUAGCAGAGAGGGGAGCCAGGGCUGUCUGCCUCCCAGUUAGGGUGACCAUUCUGGUUUGCCCUGGAUUGAGGGAGUGAUAGCUGUUGUCACUGGCCGCCAGGACCCACAUGGCCUAUCUGGUUGCUUAGGUGGCUGUUCUCUUUCCUCUCUCCCUCUUCCUCUUGACUCAUCAAUUCUCUAUCAUUUAGAAACUAUAUUUUGGCCCAACAGAGACCUGUAAAAUAUGCCUUAAAUGAGGUCUAAGGUUUUUCUCUCAGGUAAAAGAAGUCUUGAAGUAGGCAUUUGGCUUGUCCAUUUUGGGCUGCUAUGAUAGAAUACCACAGACUGGUAAUGUAUAAACAAUGGAAGUGUAUUCCUCAUAGUUCUGGAGGUGCUGAAGUCCAAUAUCAAGGCACUAGGAGGUUCGGUUUCAUUGUCUGGUAAGACUGCAUCUACUAUAAGGGCUGCAUGCUCAUACGGCAGAAGAGGUGAAGAGCAAGCUAGCCAAAUCCUGCAGUGUGAAGGCUUUUUUAAAAUGACCUUAAUUCCACUAACAAAGAAGAAGCCCUCAUAACCUGACCACCUCU